rnacentral:rRNA from 1 species
GACAGAGGCCCCAAGCGUUAGGCGGAAUCACUGGGCUUAAAGCGUGUGUAGGCGGACGCCUAAGUGUCUUGUGAAAUCCCACGGCUCACCCGUGGAACUGCUGGGCAUACUGGGCGUCUUGGGCCAACUAGGGGCAGCCGGAACAAGCGGUGGAGCGGUGAAAUGCGUAGAUAUCGCUUGGAACGCCGAAGGUGAAAACAGGCUGCUGGGGUUGUGCCGACGCUGAGACACAAAAGCCAGGGGAGCAAACGGG